GACGAACGCUGGCGGCGUGCUUAACACAUGCAAGUCGUACGGUAAGGCCCUUUCGGGGGUACACGAGUGGCGAACGGGUGAGUAACACGUGCGUAACCUGCCCACAACUUUGGGAUAACGCUAGGAAACUGGUGCUAAUACUGGAUAUGUGCUCCUGCUGCAUGGUGGGGGUUGGAAAGCUCCGGCGGUUGUGGAUGGACUCGCGGCCUAUCAGCUUGUUGGUGGGGUAGUGGCCUACCAAGGCGGCGACGGGUAGCCGGCCGGAGAGGGUGACCGGCCACAUUGGGACUGAGAGACGGCCCAGACGCCUACGGGAGGCAGCAGUGGGGAAUAUUGCACAAUGGGCGCAAGCCUGAUGCAGCAACGCCGCGUGCGGGAUGACGGCCUUCGGGUUGUAAACCGCUUUCAGCAGGGACGAAGCUUUUUGUGACGGUACCUGCAGAAGAAGCACCGGCUAACUACGUG
rnacentral:rRNA from 1 species